rnacentral:lncRNA from 1 species
AAGAGCCUCAGCUGCCGCGUGCCUUCUGUCUGCUGUGGGCCCAGCAGCUGCACAGACCCCUCUUGUUGGGAGACAAGACAGGGCUCUUUCUCUCCCGUGACCUCAGCCUCAUCUCCAAUCGUGGGGAAGAGAGAAACUGAAAUUCUUCCUGUGACUGAACACAUGAGAAUGCAACAGUUACUUGGGGUAACAGGUUUCCUGUGGGUCCUGUGUGAAGAGUAUGCAUUCAUUCCAGUGUCGGGGAGGGGAGAAGAAUGAGGAGGAGGCAGUCCCAUGUGGAUGUCAGUGUGAUGAUUAGGAUGCCUGAUGCUUCCGAAACAAGAAUACACUUUACGAAAAUGCCCAUUGAAAAUACUUUUUCCUUUCUACUCUUGUGCUAAGAGUGCCUGUUUGGACCCCAUGGCUUCGUAAUGGUCAGUGUGUUUACCGUGGCCAAAAAGAGCCUGUGUGUAAGAGAAAGAAAUCCAUGUGGCUGAGUGGCAGGAGAACCAGAAGAGGAGUUAGGGAACUGGAUUCGAAUCCUAGCUCAGCUUCUAGCAAUGGCUUUUACCCUUGUCCCACGGCCCCCCUGCCCAACUCAAGAAGGUGAUGAAAUAGGCUGCAGAAGUUCCCAGCCAGGCAAGUAGAAGCAGGGUAUUGUGAAGAUGAAAGCAAAGAUAUGGCAAGAGCUCAGAAGAGUACCUGGCCCAUAGGUAUGAUGGCAGAUCAUUUGGAUCAACUCAAUGGAAGUGGUAAAAUAAAAUCACAAACUAUUAGUGCUGGGAGGAAUCUUAGCAAACACCUGGUCAAUAUCCUCAUUCAAUGUAGAUGUCCCCUCAAUAUCUUCUGUUGAUCUCUUCAGGGAUGAAGAACUCCCUUCUUUCAGAGAGAAAAUGCCAGUGUUGGAGAAAAUGGGAGAGGAAGCUGGAAAAGCCUGGGGGAGUUAUCAUCAGUGAUACAUGUCUGACCCCAGGUGAAGGAGGGAGGGAGGGAAGGUUGGGUUGAAGUGUCCUAGACUAUAGUAAAGUCCAGGAGAGAUUUGGCAAGGAUCUUGAGGAGUUCUUAAAACAAAGUUAGCUGUCAGAGGACCCCGUAUUAUCAAUGAACAAACUUAUCAUAGUAUUCCCAGCAAUGGGUUUCAGUGAGCAGUAGCUGGGUCCCUUAAUCAAUAAUGCAUCCUGUAGUUGGAAGUCUAUGAGGCAUAAUUUCAAAGGUGCCCCACGGUUUCUAUCCUAGCUCCGCCAUUAAUUGGCUGUUAUUCUAGCAAGUUACUCUGCCUCUCUUUAAACCUCAUCUUCUUCAUUUGUAAAGUGGUAAUGCUAGUAGUACCUUCUCUGUGGUGUGGUUUAAAUAAGAUAAAGAAUGUAUUGUUGUUUUUCUCUGGGGCACCUGGAUCCUGACUGUACCAACUGCUUUCAACUGAUUGGUCUGUGUUCAGGCUGAAGUCCUGGGCUGAAAUUCAUAGAUGUUGUGUUCUAAAAGGAAAUGCUUACUAAUCUCAUUCAUCAGAAAGAAUCUGAAAUAUUUUAUCUUCUGACUUUUGUAUAUACAUCUCUCCUUUUAAAAAUGAAACAAAUAAACUUACAAAGAACAAAGAUAUAAUAGACUGGGAACAAAAUAAACAGCCUCAGGCACAUGUGGCACUAUACCAGAAGAUCUAACAUUUGUGUCAUUGGGGUGCUAGAAGAAGAGGAGAGAGAGUUUGGGGUUGCUAAAGUACCAGACAUAAUAGCUGAAAACUUCCAAAAUUUGACAAAAGAUAUAACCUAUAGAAUCAAGAAACUGGGUUAACCCCAAAUAGGAUAAACCCAAAGAAAUCUAUAUCUAAAGCACAUCAUAAUCAAACUUCCAAAUAUUAAAGACUAGGAAGAAGUCUUGAAAGCAGUGACGGAGAAACAACAAUUUACCUAAGGAAGAAAAACAGCUCAAAUGACAGUGGAGUUCUUAUCAGAAAGCAUGACAGAAGGAAGUGGUACAACAUUUUUCAAGUGCUGAAAGAAAAGAGCUGUCAAUGCAGAAUUCUGUAUCUAGUGAAAAUUUCUUUAGAAAUGAAAGGGAAAUCAAGAUAUUCUCAGAUAAAGGAAAACUAAGAGAAUUUUUUUUUUUUUUUUUACCAGCAGGCCUUCUCUAGAAGAAUGGCAAAAGGAAGUUCUUUAAACAGAAAGGAAAUAAUAAAAUAUGGACCUUCGAAUGUUAGGAAGAAAGAGAAAAUAUGAGAAAUGUUUAUUUAUAAAAUGUGUGCAAUGAGCAAAAAUAUGGUUAAAGACAAUGGAUUGCUUCUUUUCUUGGGUCUUCUAAAUCAUGUUUGAUGGCUGAAGCAAAAAUUAUAACAGCAUCUUAUGUGGUUCUAAAUGUAUACUGAGGAAAUAUUUAAAACAGUUACAUUUUAAGCAGGUAAUGAGGGACAUACAGCUCAGAAAGGAAGAAAUAACACUUCCCCUAUUCCCAGAUGACAUGAUUUCCUGUGUAGAAAAUGCCAUGGAAUCUAAGCAAAUAAACAAACAAACAAAACAAUAAAAGAUCCCACUAGAAUCAAUAAGUGAGUUUAGCAAGUUUGCAGAAUACAAAAAAGCACACAUGAGAAACAUCAGUUGUCUUUCUAUAUGGUAACAGUGAACACAUGAAUACCAAAAUUAAAAAUACAAUACCAUUUACAAUCAACCAAAAAAUAUGUACUUAUGUAUACAGGAAUUAUGUGUUGAAAAAUACAAAAUGCUGAUGAAAGAAAUCAAAGAAGAACUAAUUAGAGAGAGACAUACCAUAUUUAUGCAUUGAAAUAUUGACAUAGUGAAGAUGUCAGUUCUCUUCAAAUUGAUAUACAGGUUUAACGCAAUUCCUAUCAAAAUCCCAGCAAGAGUUUUGUAGAUUGAGACAAGACUAUUUCUAAAAUUUAGAUGAACAAACAUAGGAAUUAAAAUAGCUAAACCAAUUUUGAAAAAGAAGAAUAAAGUGGGAGAAAUCAACUCCCUCAUUUUAAGACUUACUAUAAAGCUACAGUAAUUAAGACUGUACGGUAUUGGCAAAGGGCAAACACAUAGAUCAAUGGAACAGACCAGAGAAUCAAAAAAUAGACCCACAAAAAUAUGCCCGAUUGAUUUUUGACAAAGGUGAAAAAGCAAUUUAGUGAUGGAAAAAUAGCAUUUUCAACAAAUGGUGCUGGAGCAAUUGGGCUUUCAUGAGCAGAAAUAUCUUGACCUAGCUCUCGCACCUUAUGCAAGAAUUAACUCAAAAUAGGUAAUGGACUUAAAUGUAAAACACACAAAAAAGUCAAGUCUUAGACUUGACACCAAAAGCAAAGUCCAUAAUAGAAAAAAAUAGGUAAAUUAGAUUUAACUAGACCUACUCAAAAUUAAGCCUUUUUUUCUGUGAACAACUCUGCUAAGAGGAUGGAAAAACUAACUACAAACUUGAAGAAAAUAGUUGCAAAGCACAUAGCCAACAAAAGAUUAGUAUGUGGAAUAGAUAAACAACUUUCAAAAGUUAACAGUAAAAGACAAACAUCUAAUUAGGAAAUUGACAAAAGAUAUGAAGAGACACCUUACUAAGAAGAUACACAGAUAGAAAUUAAGCACAUGACAAGAUCUUCAACACCAUUAGCCUUUAAAUGAAAUCAAGACCUCAAUGAGAUAUCACAACACACCUAUCUCCUUAUAUGUCACAUGUAAACUCUUAGUCUAAUAGAGAAAUAAAAGUAUGGAACAUUUUAUAAGAUAUAUAGCAUAUGAUAAAAGACAAGUACAUAAGCCAGCACUAAGCCUGUAGUGAGUGUGUACUAUUUGCCAGAUAUCCUAUGUGUUUUAUCUCAGUUUACCCUGACAAUCCCUUGAGGCAGUAAUGUAGAAGAUACAUACUCAAUAUUUUCUGGUUAAAUGAAUAAGUAAUUUCAUCUCUGAAUGGUUGAAUGAGUGGAUGGAUGUUUGGAAUUGGUAAAGGGUAGAACAAUGUAAAACAUUUUAAGACAUAACACAGGCUGGGCAU